GGGAUGGGCAUAGUUGCUAGAGAAAAAGUGGGCUCAUAACUGAAUAUGAGGAAUAAUGUGGGCUGAAGUACAUUUGAUAAAUUACGAGAUCCUUUCAACAGUCCCAAGAUGCUUUCCAAGUGAUCCUACAUGGCUAUGCACAUUGGAACACCACAGUCUCUGGAAAACAAAAGUCAUGGAUGGUCAGAAAAGCAAAGACAAAAUCCCAGUGGAGGCAGGUUUAUCUUCUCUCUCUCCUAUAUUUCCUCUGGGGCCUCACUGAGAAAGCAAGAAAAACAAAACUCCUGGUAUAAACAGGCUGCAUCCAGCGAGGCCAGGAAGAUGGCGAUGACUGGGAGGACCAGGGAAGAAUCUGAAGAGCAGUCACGCAAGUCUGCUAUUUUCCAAAAUGGCUAUGGAAAUGGUGAUUUUUUAAAAAGCAUGGCUGGAAGAUAG
rnacentral:lncRNA from 1 species